rnacentral:rRNA from 1 species
CGGACGGGUGAGUAAUGUCUGGGGAACUGCCUGAUGGAGGGGGAUAACUACUGGAAACGGUAGCUAAUACCGCAUAACGUCGCAAGACCAAAGAGGGGGACCUUCGGGCUUCUUGCCAUCGGAUGUGCCCAGAUGGGAUUAGCUAGUAGGUGGGGUAAAGGCUCACCUAGGCGACGAUCCCUAGCUGGUCUGAGAGGAUGACCAGCCACACUGGAACUGAGACACGGUCCAG